rnacentral:rRNA from 1 species
GAUGAACGCUGGCGGCGUGCCUAAUACAUGCAAGUCGAGCGAACAGACAAGGAGCUUGCUCCUCUGACGUUAGCGGCGGACGGGUGAGUAACACGUGGAUAACCUACCUAUAAGACUGGGAUAACUUCGGGAAACCGGAGCUAAUACCGGAUAAUAUAUUGAACCGCAUGGUUCAAUAGUGAAAGACGGUUUUGCUGUCACUUAUAGAUGGAUCCGCGCCGCAUUAGCUAGUUGGUAAGGUAACGGCUUACCAAGGCAACGAUGCGUAGCCGACCUGAGAGGGUGAUCGGCCACACUGGAACUGAGACACGGUCCAGACUCCUACGGGAGGCAGCAGUAGGGAAUCUUCCGCAACGGGCGAAAGCUUGACGGAGCAACGCCGCGUGAGUGAUGAAGGUCUUCGGAUCGUAAAACUCUGUUAUUAGGGAAGAACAAAUGUGUAAGUAACUAUGCACGUCUUGACGGUACCUAAUCAGAAAGCCACGGCUAACUACGUG